GAUGAAGAACGUAGCGAAAUGCGAUAACUAAUGUGAAUUGCAGAAUUCCGUGAAUCAUCGAGUCUUUGAACGCACAUUGCGCCCCCUGGUAUUCCGGAGGGCAUGCCUGUCCGAGCGUCAUUGCUGCCCAUCAAGCACGGCUUGUGUGUUGGGUCCUCGUCCCCCCCGGGGGACGUGCCCGAAAGGCAGCGGCGGCACCGCGUCCGGUCCUCGAGCGUAUGGGGCUUUGUCACCCGCUCUGCAGGCCCGGCCGGCGCUGGCCGACGCGAAAGCAACCAUUUUUUCUCCAGGUUGACCUCGGAUCAGGUAGGGAUACCCGCUGAACUUAAGCAUAUCAAUAAGAGGAGGA
rnacentral:misc_RNA from 1 species